ensembl:lncRNA
GAGAGGGUCGGGGAGGAGCGCGUGAGAGGGCGCCGGGCAGGGCAGAAGGAGCAGUGGGGAGAGGGUUGGCAGGACAGGGAAGAAGGGGAAGAGGGAUGGGGAAGCGCGGGGAAAUUGGGGGAAUGAGAGGGCAGGUGGCGGAGCAGGUGCCUCUUAGGAAAAAGACCCCAUUGCCAGGGGCGGCGGGAGGGGGAUGCGGAGGCCCCGGGGUGCCCCUUCGGGCCCACCCUGCGGGCAAGUGGCGCCUUGGGGGCGGCUGAGCCCCCUGUUGCACCCUAAGAUGUGCAGGGAAACGUCGUGUUCUUGGGCAGGCGUUUUGGGCUACGUCCGCCCGCGAGGCUGGGGGGAAGGUGCGCGGCGAGGAGACGCGCCCGUGGCCGCGGCGACAGAGAGCGACGGCAGGAAUUUAAUCUUUCCCUGCUGCUAUUGCAACAGGCCGAGCUGCUGUAAAAGCGGGGCAAGAGCAAGAGAACAGAUGCACAGGAACAUGCCCUUUGCCGUUGCUGCCGGCUGUCGUCCUCUUCAGCGAUGGCUCGUGUGUGGAGAUGGAAGCAAUACAAACCUGUGA